AUUGGAGGGCAAGUCUGGUGCCAGCAGCCGCGGUAAUUCCAGCUCCAAAAGCGUAUAUUAAAGUUGUUGCAGUUAAAAAGCUCGUAGUUGAACCUUGGGCUUGGUUGGCCGGUCCAUCUUUUUGAUGCGUACUGGACCCAACCGAGCCUUUCCUUCUGGCUAGCCUUUUGGCGAACCAGGACUUUUACUUUGAAAAAAUUAGAGCGUUCAAAGCAGGCCUUUGCUCGAAUAUAUUAGCAUGGAAUAAUAGAAUAGGACGUUAUGGUUCUAUUUUGUUGGUUUCUAGGACCAUCGUAAUGAUUAAUAGGGACGGUCGGGGGUAUCAGUAUUCAGUUGUCAGAGGUGAAAUUCUUGGAUUUACUGAAGACUAACUACUGCGAAAGCAUUUACCAAGGACGUUUUCAUUAAUCAAGAACGAAAGUUAGGGGAUCGAAGAUGAUCAGAUACCGUCGUAGUCUUAACCAUAAACUAUGCCGACUAGGGAUCGG
rnacentral:rRNA from 1 species